GGCCCGUUGGUCAAGCGGUUAAGACACCGCCCUUUCACGGCGGUAACACGGGUUCGAAUCCCGUACGGGU
rnacentral:tRNA from 1 species